GAAGCUUCAUUUAAAAUUAAAAUAAAAUGCAGAGCCCCCCCGGGCUGGUGGCCAGGACCCGGGCAGUGUGAGUGCCACUGAAAAUCAGCUCACCUGUCGCCUUUGGCACACGUACCAUAGGUUGCCUACCCCGAUCUACAGACUUACCAGAGACAGAGCAUCAGGGGGGAAAACUGAAAAAAAAUCAUUGGUGAAAAGGGGAAUUGAUCAAAAAGCUGUGUUAGAUGAAAACAGAUCCUGAAAACAGUAAAUGAAAAGCCCACCCACAAAGGACCUAACGUGAGUGAGCAGAGAGAAUGACGGUCUGAACAUCUGUUGAAGGAAUACAGUUCAAAGGUGCCUAAUGGACAAGUGAGGGCCCACAAAGAAAAGAAACCCCACUUGUGGAUAAACUCGGUAGAAAGAGGUACAGCCCCAGGAACAUCGAAUCCAAGGAGCACUUCAAGCCAAAGAGAGGCAAAGAACAAGACAGCAAGAGCGGAGCUGGACUUAGAGUGAAGGAGAGGAAGAGUUUCUUCUCGGAAGUGACAGUCUAUGGUAAUCUCUUUUGUUCUUGGUAACAACAAUGCAUUUGGUACUAACUGCACAGCAUGUCCAAGCACACAAAAGGUUAACGAGUUGGUAACCUAUAGUUUAUUAUCGUAAGUAGUAAGUCUUUGGUAAUGUUCUAUAUUAUCUAUGCUCCUGGUACAAGUUUGGGGUUUUCCCUUAGAAAGUUAUAAAAAUUUCAAAUUAUCCCUUUUGUUGUGGUUUGCCUCUCCUCACAGUUAACACAGCCAAGCCGGGUCACCACACAACCACUUAUCAGUUCUACAAAAUGCACCUGGGGGGAAAACAAAACGGGCGGAGUGUUUUGUGGGACAGAGGCAACGAUGUAAGCUGGAGUCCCUUUGACCUCAGAAGCAACAUUCUGAGGUCUGAACACCAUCCUGACAGACUCCUGUAAGGUACUGGGUGGAGUUGCGGCUCCUAACAUAUUGCUCAAAUUCCUCCCUCAGAGAUGGGCCAGAGACUUCAGCUUGCUGGAGGGCUUCACUACACAUGCUGACAAAAAGACCUCCUCCCAGCUAGGGUACAAAGCUGCAGCAAAACAUGAGAUUUGGAAGAGGUGGCUAAAUAACUCCAGCAGCGGGGUGACACAGCUCUGGAAACUUACUUACCCAUCCUGCCCUCCUCAGAACAUUACAUUAACUUUCACGGAUAAAAGUGAAAAUGUGAGUGCCCAUUGCUGCAAACAAACACUGAUUUCCAAACCCUUUAAUUAGAUGUACCGGACUAGUGCCUGUACAAGUUAGUUUUCCGAUAGCUCCCUAUCUUUAUACUAGCCUCCUUACUCUCUCCCGGGAAUGCCCUGAAAGCUAUCUCAACAAUGAGAAGACUAGUAAUUAAGCAGAUUUCAAAUCAGAUUGACAAAAAAGCACCCUUACCACCUAGGACUUCACAUGCCUCGAUAUAAACCAAGCAAAUACAUCAUAAGGUAGUAAAUCAGAAAGCCACAGCAACUCAAAACACCCAACAGCCAUUCAUAAACACCUGAAGUACAUAACUCCUCGCUUAACGUUGUAGUUAUGUUCCUGAAAAAUGUGACUGAGUGAAACGAUGUUAAGCAAAUCCAAUUUCCCCAUAAGAAUUAAUGUAAAUAGGGGGGGUUAGGUUCCAGGGAAAUUUUUUUUGCCAGACAAAAGGCAUUAUAUACAUUUUAAACAAGCAAUUUAAUACUACGCUGGGGGGGGGGUCGUGUGCACGUGCUGUGUGUUUACACACGUAUGUACAGUGCUAUAGUUGGGAGGUGCCCCUGCCUUACCCCACACAGGCACAGCCCACUGGCACUGGAGAUGAGGCAGGCAAGGAAGCUGAAGGUGCUGUAGACUAGGAGAAGCACAUUGUGCAGCAGCA
rnacentral:lncRNA from 1 species